GCUCCAGUGGCGCAAUUGGUUAGUCGCACGGUACUUAUAAUGCCGAGGUUGUGAGUUCGAGCCUCACCUGGAGCA